rnacentral:rRNA from 1 species
GCGAACGGGAUUAGAUACCCCCGGUAGUUUACGCCGUAAACGAUGCGCACUAGGUUCGAGAAUUUCUGAUGAUUUUCGUGCCGCAACAAAAGCGAGAAGUGCGCCGCCUGGGGAGUACGGCCGCAAGGCUAAAACUCAAAGGAAUUGACGGGGGCUNCACACAAGCGGUGGAGCAUGUGGAUCAAUUCGAAGCAGCGCGAAGAACCUUACCUGGGUUUGACAUGUACGGAUGCUCUCGGUGAAAGUCGAGUAAGCUGCCUUCGGGUGAAACGUGCACAGGUGNUGCACGGCUGUCGUCAGCUUGUGCUGUGAAGUGUCGGGUUAAGUCUCUUAAUGAGCGAAACCCUUGUCGCUAGUUACCAGCGGGUUAUGCCGGGGACUCUAGCGAGACUGCCGGCGUUAAGCCGGAGGAAGGUGGGGACGACGUCAAGUUCAUCAUGGCCUUUAUG